rnacentral:snRNA from 1 species
UCCAUGACUCCAUGAGUCUCUUGU